rnacentral:lncRNA from 1 species
CAUUGACAGGCCCUGUCUGAAAGCUGGUGGGUACUAAAUCAUCACAUGCGUUUAAACCUCUUCUCAUUUCUUAUGCACUUUUAUAUCAGCAUAAUUUUUAAAAAUGUAUUUGAAUUACUUUUCAGUCAACAAAAACAACGGUUAUUUUUCAUGUAAAGGACAAAUGGGACUUAAAAGAGCCAGGACUGCCUAGCCUGGGGGAGGGGAAGGUGCUGGCCUUGUCCAGUGGCAUUUAAAAGCUCCUUUGGGGUGGUGGAGAACAUAAAUGUGAGAGCAAAUUCCAUCUGUCUUUAGUUGCGGAGCUGAAUAAAAAUGAGAAACGGGUUCCUAUUGCCUAAAUUG